GAUGAACGCUGGCGGCGUGCCUAAUACAUGCAAGUCGAGCGAACAGACGAGGAGCUUGCUCCUCUGACGUUAGCGGCGGACGGGUGAGUAACACUUGGAUAACCUACCUAUAAGACUGGGAUAACUUCGGGAAACCGGAGCUAAUACCGGAUAAUAUAUUGAACCGCAUGGUUCAAUAGUGAAAGACGGUUUUGCUGUCACUUAUAGAUGGAUCCGCGCCGCAUUAGCUAGUUGGUAAGGUAACGGCUUACCAAGGCGACGAUGCGUAGCCGACCUGAGAGGGUGAUAGGCCACACUGGAACUGAGACACGGUCCAGACUCCUACGGGAGGCAGCAGUAGGGAAUCUUCCGCAAUGGGCGAAAGCCUGACGGAGCAACGCCGCGUGAGUGAUGAAGGUCUUCGGAUCGUAAAACUCUGUUAUUAGGGAAGAACAAAUGUGUAAGUAACUAUGCACGUCUUGACGGUACCUAAUCAGAAAGCCACGGCUAACUACGUG
rnacentral:rRNA from 1 species